rnacentral:rRNA from 1 species
UACGGAGGGUGCGAGCGUUGUCCGGAAUUAUUGGGCGUAAAGGGCUCGUAGGCGGUUCGUCACGUCGGGAGUGAAAACUCGGGGCUUAACCCCGAGCCUGCUUCCGAUACGGGCAGACUAGAGGUAGGCAGGGGAGAGCGGAACUCCUGGUGUAGCGGUGGAAUGCGCAGAUAUCAGGAGGAACACCGGUGGCGAAGGCGGGUCUCUGGGCCGAUACUGACGCUGAGGAGCGAAAGCGUGGGGAGCGAGCAGG